GAUGAAGAACGUAGUGAAAUGCGAUACUUGGUGUGAAUUGCAGAAUCCCGUGAACCAUCGAGUCUUUGAACGCGAGUUGCGCCCGAAGCCAUUAGGCCGAGGGCACGCCUGCCUGGGUGUCACACACCGUUACCCUCGCGCCAACGUCCAUCGUUGGCCGCGGCGCGGGGCGUGCGCUGACCUCCCGCGAGCGGGGUCUCGUGGUUGGUUGAAAAUCGAGUUCGCGGUCGAGGGUGCCGUGAUGAAAUGGUGGAUGGGCGACGCCCGAGGCCAAUCACGCGCGACUCCGUCCGGCUCGGACUCCUGGACCCCUUCGGCGUCUCCGGACGCUCUUUGGCGAGACCUCAGGUCAGGCGGGGCUACCCGCUGAGUUUAAGCAUAUCAAUAAGCGGAGGA
rnacentral:misc_RNA from 1 species